rnacentral:rRNA from 1 species
GAUGAACGCUGGCGGCGUGCUUAACACAUGCAAGUCGAACGAAGCAUUUAGAACAGAUUACUUCGGUUUGAAGUUCUUUAUGACUGAGUGGCGGACGGGUGAGUAACGCGUGGGUAACCUGCCUUGUACUGGGGGAUAGCAGCUGGAAACGGCUGGUAAUACCGCAUAAGCGCACAAUGUUGCAUGACAUGGUGUGAAAAACUCCGGUGGUAUAAGAUGGACCCGCGUCUGAUUAGCUAGUUGGUGAGAUAACAGCCCACCAAGGCGACGAUCAGUAGCCGACCUGAGAGGGUGAUCGGCCACAUUGGGACUGAGACACGGCCCAGACUCCUACGGGAGGCAGCAGUGGGGAAUAUUGCACAAUGGAGGAAACUCUGAUGCAGCGACGCCGCGUGAGUGAAGGAGUAAUUCGUUAUGUAAAGCUCUAUCAGCAGGGAAGAUAGUGACGGUACCUGACUAAGAAGCUCCGGCUAAAUACGUGCCAGCCGCCGCUGUAA